CCAAUAACAAUUCCUUGCUCGUAAGCAAGCGAUGGGAUCCUGUAAGAAUUUUUAAAUCUGCCGCUGUUUUGUCAUUCACGCAUUGCGCUGUGAUGUUUGAAAGACUGCAGCAGCAAUUACAAGUACUACACAUUUCGUGAAAUUAGCCAUCAUUAAACUAUCAACUGUAACUUCCUUUUAAUUUUUUGGCGGAUGAAAGACACUGCUCCAAGAGCCGUUGUUCGUUGCAGAAUACGCUGAAAAGUCUUUUUGUAAGCAUUUAACUUAAGUUACUACUCAAGUUAAUGUAAAUAUGUGUACGAUAGCUCGAUAGGGAAAAUAAAUAAAUUACUAACAGUUUC